GAUGAAGAACGCAGCGAAAUGCGAUACCUAAUGUGAAUUGCAGAAUUCAGUGAAUCAUCGAGUCUUUGAACGCACAUUGCGCCCCCUGGUAUUCCGGGGGGCAUGCCUGUCCGAGCGUCAUUGCUGCCCUCAAGCACGGCUUGUGUGUUGGGCCUCCGUCCUCCUCCCGGGGGACGGGCCCGAAAGGCAGCGGCGGCACCGCGUCCGGUCCUCGAGCGUAUGGGGCUUCGUCACCCGCUCUUGUAGGCCCGGCCGGCGCUUGCCGACACAUCAAUCUUUUUUCCAGGUUGACCUCGGAUCAGGUAGGGAUACCCGCUGAACUUAAGCAUAUCAAUAAGCGGAGGA
rnacentral:misc_RNA from 1 species